rnacentral:tRNA from 1 species
UGAGAAAGGGUGUAUUGGAGGCACAAAGAGUUUUGAUCUCUUUAGUACGGGUUCGAAUCCCGUUUUCUCGA